GGGGUUGUGGCUCAGUGGCAGAGCGCUUGCCUAGCAUGUAUGAGGCACUGGGUUCAAUUCUCAGCACCA
rnacentral:tRNA from 1 species